rnacentral:rRNA from 1 species
GACGAACCUUUGCGGCGUGCUUAACACAUGCAAGUCGAACGGAAAGGCCCUGCUUUUGUGGGGUGCUCGAGUGGCGAACGGGUGAGUAACACGUGAGUAACCUGCCCUUGACUUUGGGAUAACUUCAGGAAACUGGGGCUAAUACCGGAUAGGAGCUCCUGCUGCAUGGUGGGGGUUGGAAAGUUUCGGCGGUUGGGGAUGGACUCGCGGCUUAUCAGCUUGUUGGUGGGGUAGUGGCUUACCAAGGCUUUGACGGGUAGCCGGCCUGAGAGGGUGACCGGCCACAUUGGGACUGAGAUACGGCCCAGACUCCUACGGGAGGCAGCAGUGGGGAAUAUUGCACAAUGGGCGGAAGCCUGAUGCAGCAACGCCGCGUGCGGGAUGACGGCCUUCGGGUUGUAAACCGCUUUCGCCUGUGACGAAGCGUAAGUGACGGUAAUGGGUAAAGAAGCACCGGCUAACUACGUGCCAGCAGCCGCGGUGAUACGUAGGGUGCGAGCGUUGUCCGGAUUUAUUGGGCGUAAAGGGCUCGUAGGUGGUUGAUCGCGUCGGAAGUGUAAUCUUGGGGCUUAACCCUGAGCGUGCUUUCGAUACGGGUUGACUUGAGGAAGGUAGGGGAGAAUGGAAUUCCUGGUGGAGCGGUGGAAUGCGCAGAUAUCAGGAGGAACACCAGUGGCGAAGGCGGUUCUCUGGGCCUUUCCUGACGCUGAGGAGCGAAAGCGUGGGGAGCGAACAGGCUUAGAUACCCUGGUAGUCCACGCUGUAAACGGUGGGUACUAGGUGUGGGGUCCAUUCCACGGGUUCCGUGCCGUAGCUAACGCUUUAAGUACCCCGCCUGGGGAGUACGGCCGCAAGGCUAAAACUCAAAGGAAUUGACGGGGCCCCGCACAAGCGGCGGAGCAUGCGGAUUAAUUCGAUGCAACGCGUAGAACCUUACCUGGGUUUGACAUGGAUCGGGAGUGCUCAGAGAUGGGUGUGCCUCUUUUGGGGUCGGUUCACAGGUGGUGCAUGGCUGUCGUCAGCUCGUGUCGUGAGAUGUUGGGUUAAGUCCCGCAACGAGCGCAACCCUUGUUCACUGUUGCCAGCACGUUAUGGUGGGGACUCAGUGGAGACCGCCGGGGCCAACUCGGAGGAAGGUGGGGAUGACGUCAGGUCAUCAUGCCCCUUAUGUCCAGGGCUUCACGCAUGCUACAAUGGCUGGUACAGAGAGUGGCGAGCCUGUGAGGGUGAGCGAAUCUCGGAAAGCCGGUCUCAGUUCGGAUUGGGGUCUGCAACUCGACCUCAUGAAGUCGGAGUCGCUAGUAAUCGCAGAUCAGCAACGCUGCGGUGAAUACGUUCCCGGGGCU